UGGGGAAUUUUGGACAAUGGGGGAAACCCUGAUCCAGCCAUCCCGCGUGUGCGAUGAAGGCCUUCGGGUUGUAAAGCACUUUUGGCAGGAAAGAAACGUCAUGGGUUAAUACCCCGUGAAACUGCCGGUACCUGCAGAAUAAGCACCGGCUAACUACGUGCCAGCAGCCGCGGUAAUACGUAGGGUGCAAGCGUUAAUCGGAAUUACUGGGCGUAAAGCGUGCGCAGGCGGUUCGGAAAGAAAGAUGUGAAAUCCCAGAGCUCAACUUUGGAACUGCAUUUGUAACUACCGGGCUAGAGUGUGUCAGAGGGAGGUGGAAUUCCGCGUGUAGCAGUGAAAUGCGUAGAUAUGCGGAGGAACACCGAUGGCGAAGGCAGCCUCCUGGGAUAACACUGACGCUCAUGCACGAAAGCGUGGGGAGCAAACAGG
rnacentral:rRNA from 1 species